GUGUCAGCAGCCGCGGUAAUACGUAGGGAGCAAGCGUUGUUCGGAUUUACUGGGCGUAAAGGGCGCGUAGGCGGCAAAUCAAGUCAGCUGUGAAAUCUCUGAGCUUAACUCAGAACGGUCAGCUGAUACUGCUUUGCUAGAGUGCGGAAGGGGCAAUCGGAAUUCUUGGUGUAGCGGUGAAAUGCGUAGAUAUCAAGAGGAACACCUGAGGUGAAGACGGGUUGCUGGGCCGACACUGACGCUGAGUGCGCGAAAGCCAGGGGAGCAAACGGGAUUAGAUACCCCGGUAGUCCUGGCCUUAAACGAUGAAUACUUGGUGUCUGGAGUCUCUAUAGCUCCGGGUGCCGUCGCUAACGUUUUUAGUAUUCCGCCUGGGGAGUACGCACGCAAGUGUGAA
rnacentral:rRNA from 1 species